GUCUAACAGUCACAAUGAAUCCUUCACACAUGACCAAGCUAUUCUUUGUUUCUCAUCGUCUCCUACAGCGUUUAUCCUAAGGUUCUUCCAUGUGUAUAAUUUCCCAGAAAAUUUAGUACUUAAUAUUCUGAUGGUUUCCACUACAUGUUUUGUCUCCCUACUGAGACAGUAAGUGAUUCAAGGGCAAAGUCUUUGCCUUACACCAUUUUUUAAUCUUCCAAUGCUGAGCCCACACAAGGUGCUAAAUAAAUAGAGCAGUAGUUCUUCAUGUGGGGCGGAGGUGAGGGAUCACAUCAGAAUCACAUAGGGAGCUUUGAAAAAUCGAGGCACACACAGAAAGACCCAUAUAAUUCUUAAGGUAUCAGAUUUUAAAUUUUUAUUCAUAUUAUUUAUAUUUCCAAUGGUAAUUUUGGCAUGCCUUUUCAAGAUCUAGUAUCUUAAAUAUAGGAACUUGGCAUAUAAAGGCAGCUCCACAAAACCAAUAGGUAAGUGAUGGAUUAUUUUGUAGCAAAUAAUAGGAAUACUGGCUCACUUAUUUGGAGGGGGAAAAAGCUGAAUCCCUCAAUUAAAUCAUGUAGAUUCAUUUAUUUAACUGAAUUCCACACCAUAUGCCAAGCACUCUUCUAGAUUUUGAGGAAACAAGACUGAGCAAAAGAGACAGUGAGGUGCUGGUCUCAUGAAGCUUUCAUCUUAGUGGGGUUCUAUGGACAAUUAACUUUCACAUACACAUAUAUAUGUGUAUUUAUAUAUAUAUAUAUAUAUAUAUAUAUAUACACACACACACACACACACAUACAUAUUAUUUCAGUUUUCCCUAGUGAGAAUGCUAUAAAGAAAAUGAAAGCAAGAUAAGGGAAUGCGGGGAAUGUUCUUUUAGAUAGGGAAAGCCUAUCUGAGAAGGUGACACCUGGGCAGAAAUUUUAACAAAAGGCAGAAGUGGGGCAUGAAGCAAUCUGAGAAAAGGGCAUUCUGGGUGAAGGAGGACAUUCUGGGUGGAGGAAACAAGUGACUGUAAAAGUCUUCAGGCAGAAAGGAGCUUGCUUGGCUCUUUGAGGAACAACACAAAGGCCAGGGCUUGGAACAGAAUGAGUGAGUGGGAGUGUAUUAGGAGAGUGGUGGGGGAGGGAUGUGUCUUUGUCCUUGAUGGUUGAGAGUGGAAGUUGGAGAGUGAGCUGGAGAAAGGUGAGGGACUAACAAAAUCCAGAAAUGGAGACAGAGACUUCUCCAGAUGUGUGAGUGGCACAUCUAACCCAUCAUAGGAAGGCCACUAGACUCCAUUAGCAGAUGUUAAUUCUCAUGCCUCAGACUUGAAGCUGAGUGAUAUGACUAAUGGUAUUGAGCAGGGUGUGGUGAGUGCUGCUAAGCAUGGAGAGAUCUUGGUGGCUGUCUUUGGGCUGCUGUAACAAAAUACCACAGAUUAGGUGGCUUAUAAACAACAGAAAUUUAGUUCUCACAGCUCUAGAGGCUAGAAGUCUGAGAUCAGUGUGCCAAUGGUCUGGUGAGGCCCCCUUCCAGGUUGCAGACUUUUCAUUAUAUCCUCACAUGGAAGCAUGGGCUAGGGAGCUCUGUGGGGUCUUUUAGAAUAGCACUAAUCCUAUUCAUGGGGCUACACUCUCAUGAUCUAAUCACCUCCCAAAGAUCCCGCCUACUAAUUUUGUCAUCUUUGGGGAUUAGGGUUUCAACCUAUGAAUUUUAGGGAACACAAACAUUCAUACCAUAGCAGUGUUCAAAAUAGAUAAGCGAAAAAUAGUUCCUCACAGUGGGCACUGUGUAAGCUGAUGUGUCUUGGGAAAACAACUCUGGGUAUGGCAGAGAUUGGCUUAUAUGAGGACCAGAGUGUUUCCCAGGACACUCUCUGCACAGGAGUAUGGAUCAUCUUCCCCUUGGUGAAAGUUCCACUGGGGUAGAGUGUGGAAUAAUGGGGUUCUGAAAACCCCUCACCGCUUUUAUUCCUGCCUCUUUCUUGGAAGUGUUUCUUUCAGUACAAUUAAGUGUGAAAAUUAUGCUUGGAUUGGCAUCCCAUAUAGGCAAGAUUUUAAAGACUUGAGAGACCUAAGCCUACUUAGAUGCUAUAGGUCUACUCCCACACUUGUAGGAAUAGGCUCAUUCAAUUGUAGAUUAUAGGUGCUGGUAAGUCUGAAAUUUGUAGGGUGGGCUAGUGGGCUGGAAGUUCAGGUGAGAAAUGAUGUUGCUGUCUUUUGUCCUAAUUUUCCAGGCAACAUGCUGGAAACUCAGGCAGGGUUUCUAUGUUUCAGUCUUUUUUUAAAAAAAAUUUUAUUUAUCUGUUUGUCUGUCUAUCUGUCAUCUAUUUAUCUAUCUAUUUCUCUGUGUCUUUAACAUUUAUACUCAUUUUUCCAGCUUUACUGAGGUAUAAUUGAAAAACAUUGUAUAUAUUUAAAGUAUACAAUGCGAUGAUUUGAUAUAUGUAUAUGCUGUGAAAUGAUUAUCAUAAUCCAGUUAAUUAAUACAUCCAUCAUCUCAAUGGUUACCUUUUUUUUCCCCCCUGUGGUAAGAAUGCUUGAGAUCUACUUACUCAGCAAAUUUCAAGUAUACAGUGCAGUCUAUGUUGUGGUCUUGAGGAGAAUUCCUUCUACUUAGGGAACUUCAGUCUUUGCCUGUAAGGCCUUCACUGGUUAGAUGAGGCCCAUCCACAUUAUGGAGGGUAAGCUGAUGAUUUACUUAAAGUUUACUGAUUUUCCCAAUUAUUUACUUGUUAUUUACUCAUUUACUCAUUCACUGGUUUACUGAUUUUCUUAUUCAAAGUCUAUAUCUAAGAAAUGCCUUUACAGAAGUAUCUAGACUGGUGUUUGACCAAACUACUGGGCACCAUAGCUUAGCCAAGUUGAUACAUAAAGUUAACCAUUACAGAGCACUAAACUGCCUUAUAUAUUAAAAUGAACUAGGUCUUCCUUGGGUAUAGAGAUGGUUCUUUGGAUGUGCAGUAUUAAGAAAGUAGUUCAGACCAUCAUCUCUGGUGUCGGACUCCUAGGUUUUGAAUCUUACCUUUACCACUUAACCAGUUAGCUAAACCUUGGAUAAUUUACUUAAUAUAUUUGUGCUUUAGCUACCCCAUCUAUAAAAUAUGAAUAUAAUAUUAUUCAUCUCAGUAGGCUAUUAGGAGUAUUAAAUGAAUUAAUGCAGAUAAAGGGCCUAAAACAGUGUCACAUUGAAGUGAUCAGUAAAUGUGAGCUAUAGUUAUGAACAUAAUUAUCAUUAUUAGAUGGUUUUAGGGACAAGGACUGGGGGCCCAGGAAUUAGGCAAAGACAAAUCAGUGGAAGGAAAUCUGAUAUGAGCAAGGGUAGACCUCAGCAACAGGGCCAGGACUCAGGAGAGAAAGGGUUAGUGAAGGUACGGAAUGGGUUAUAGCUAGUCCAUUUUAGGAAUGUUUAGGUUUUCUUUUUCAGUACUAUAAUUUCUUAUGAUAUCUCUUCAAGUGUUCAGGAAAGUCGGUUAAAUCCUACAAUCUAGUGUCAGUCAUGGUUUGCAGUUGCCUUGGGGACUAGCAGCAACCACAUGUUUGUGUUCGCAAGGAAGUGGUGUGGUAGGAAAACAAAAUAGGGACUCUGAUUAUUUUAUGUGAAUAUUAAAGGAAAGAAUGACUCUGGAAUUGGAACAUUCGGGGACAUUUCCGUUAUAUACACAUAAGCCAUUGCUUUCCAUCUGAUAUCUUGUGCACCAAGCAAGCUCACUGCUCACUGUGUGCAUUGUUGGCCUAUUUCUGUCUCUUGCUUUGUGUAGAUGAAAACAUUCCCUUUGGAUAGUUUUACUUAGAACAUAGAUAGGCAUAAUGAUAGAAGUAAAGAGGGGGACAGAUUAAAAGCAGGUGCUUGGAAUGCUAUCUUGAAGCUCUGGUCAGGCUAAAGUUGGUAGAGACAAGUGGUUCUAAAAAGUGGCCAAAUGACCUUGAGCACAUAGUGAUGAGGCCCUGGAGCAAAGUGGGUAAACUUUAAUUACUUUCCUUAAUUUCCCACCCAACCCUGGGGAAUUCCAGGCUCAGCCUUAGCACUGGGAAAGGCCAAAUUGACAUUGGUCAGACUUGAGCACCUUGCAAACAGCUAUCACAAGCCAAGUCACUGGUGCCUGGCAAGGAAAUUAGCAUUUAUCGCAUUUCAGUAAAAAUGAUGUGGCCCAGUUAAAUUAGAUUUCCUUUCAUUUACAAUAGACUUAAAAUCUUAUUUAGCUAUAAUCCAGCCAUUGUAAAAUUGGUUACAAGGAUCCUAAUUUUCUGAGAUAUUGAAGCCUCCCUAUUCUAUCAGAGCAUCUUGAUUUUAUCCAUUUUCAUCCAUCGUUAAAUUUCUUAUGGCUGAGAAUGCCAGAGGCGACCUACCUUUCCAAUUCGCUGCUGCAUUCAGCAGUAACUGGAUUGAGAUCAGAAACAUUUAUUUUAUUCAAUGCCUUAUCUGCUCUUUUCCAUUAUUUUAAACACUACUGAGGGUCAAACUGAAAAUCCUUCUCUGAUUCUAACUGUAAUCAAGCAGGAAAUGGUUUUAUUUUAUAUUAAACUAAUAUCAAGCCUAGGAAGACAGCAUCAUUUCAUAUAGUGGAAUUGACUGGCCCAUUCUGCCAUUGCUGAAAAUUUACAGUUUGCAUAUCUUAGCACAAAACCUAUGCUUAUGUGACAUUUUACUUAAAAUUCUCCAAGCCUUCUUUGUACUCAAAUUGAUGUCUCUCUCAUUUGGGAGCCAGCUCAGGGUUUGCCACCUUUAGGAACCUACAGUUGCAGGUGCUCUCUCUCCUUCAUGUGAAUUCCUGCUGCUCUGAAAGUCUGUGUUACCUGUCCAGUCUAUUCAUCCACAGUAUGAUGUCCUUAGCUUACUUCUGUGUGUCUUGCCUCCCCAUCCAAGUAGGGCACUUGUGAAGCCUGAAACUAUGGCUCAAAUGGCUCCUUGUGCAUGCAGUGGUCUGGCUUUUCUGGGUUCCUGACAUUAGGAUCCUUAAAAUGUUAGUUAGAUAAUCCUAUGAGAAGCUUGUUGCUCCCUCCUUCCCUCCAGUUUUCUCUGGGCCUUAGUAACUUCCAGGGAGAUGUCAGUAGGCUCAAUAGUGCAAGGUGUGAGGUACUGUGUGAUCUGGGAGGCGGGGAUGGGGUGGAGGGGGAACAGCUGUGUCUCAUAGGCCAUGCUGGGCUCACUGGUUUCCCAGCCACUGCAGCUUCCUUCUGUGUAGAGCAGGGGUUGACUCUGCCGUGAUUACUCACUGUUCCUCCUCCCUGCCCACCCUGCAUGGUGACCGCUUAAGGCUUUCCCCUGGGGCCAUCUGCAAAGAGAUGGGAAGGGUAGGAUUGGAGCAUUUUGGGUGAACUUGGCUUGCUCUUGUUCAUAGCUGGAGACAGGGCAGCAGGCAGUGUUCACGAUCCUGACCUUGGUGGUCGAUACUCUCACAUGACCUGGGGAGCUGGCAUACACCAAAGUAUGAUGCCACCAAUAGCUGCGCAUCACUGAGGCAAGGCUAACUGAAUACAUGCUUUGAGUCCUGCUCUGUUGGAGGUGCUAGGGUUGAGAGUACAGAAACUUGUCCAAUAUGAACCCUGCAUUUGAGUUGCUGAACUCUCUACCUGGAAGGACUGAAACUGAGCCCAGUGCCAGGCCACAUAUCUCCUGGGUCCCAAAAUUCAAAGAAGAGAAAAUCUCUGUGGUCUGUAGUGGGAUAGGGAGAUGGACACAGGAGCAUCAGAGAAAAUGGAACUUUAUCUGUUUAUUAUUCAGUAAACCUAAUGAACCUCCCAUCAGCCAGAAUAUACAAAACUGAAAAUGUUCUUUCCUUGAGGGAGAGGAAGCAAGGGACAGUAACAAUGUGGUGUGGCACGAGUUGUGCUGUGGAUGUCACGAGAGCUGUGUGAGCCCCAGGCAGCUGCAGUUCGUCAGCCAAGACUUCCUGGAGCUGAAGAAGCAGAGGGCAUGAAAAAGACUGAGAAAAUGCCUUGCUUUUUCAAACUUAUUAAGAAGAAUAUCAGCCAGAGUGCCAACAGAAAGAACUGUUCAUUGUUCCAGAAAGUUUGGGUCAAGUGUUUUGUCUCUUUUUAAAACUUUGUUUCCCAUAGUCAAAUAGCCUAUUAUGAUGACUUUAUAAAGAAAGGAUCUUCUGGGUCUCUCUCUGGCCUUGGUCACAUUUUAUCGCAGAAAAUACACUGAAGGAGAAGUUAGGAGCCUAGACUGCUCCCAGUUUCUUCCCCAAUUACGUGGGAGCUGGGCAGCUAUGGUUGCAGCCCUGUGCCAGGUGUCCCCUUCAGGCAGGGCCCAUACCUCCUUCCUUCCUUUCCAUGUGUCUGUCCUACUAGAUGGCACAUAGGGUAUGGAAUGAGCUAGGAAGAGGGAGCCAUCCGCUGGAGACAGUCCUGACCUGGCCUGGGAUCUGGGCCCCCCUUUUUUGUUGUCCUUGUCUACUGACGAGCUCCUGGGUCCUGCUCAGGAAGACUUGUCAUUUCACAUUCCAUCAAUAAGCAGCCCCAUUCUCCAACAUUAGCUAAUAAUGUUGUGUCAGCAGGAUUAACAUCAGACGGCAGAGAGAGUGGUCUCAAGAUAGCUUUAUUGCUCUAGCUACCCUUGGAGUUUGUCUACAAGAGGAACACUAGGAUUCUGAAUGCAUUGAAUGUGGGGCCUCCUUCUGAGUAAUCCAACAGGACUGGAAGGGAGGCCCUCAGAGAGGAUCAGGGCUCUAUCUGGCCUAGCCAUUCAAACUCUUCUCUCUUCUACGUUCCCUAUUCUUAUAGGAGUUGGCUCCCUAAGCUCUGAAGGGCAGGGGCAACCUGGCCAGGAAGCUGUGGUAUAGCUGAGGAAAGUGACAGUGUAUUUCUUCUUCAGUGGCAGUAUGACUGAGGCAACUCCCUCUGCAUUAGUUGUGUGGGCCAGAGGCACUGUUACUAAUCGGUCAGCAUAGGGUGAGCAGCCCUCUUGCUCCUAGCCUACCAUAGAACUGCCUGCUGAGAAGGGGUCUGGGGAAGCCAUAGUGAACCACUAAGGAUAAGGGAGCUCACAGUCAGACUCAAGGGAGAAUUUCUCCCCUUUUGGUCCAAGCUUUCCUCCCUUGACUUCUUGCCACUGAGGUUUACUGAAACUCGGAUAUGCCAUUCUGAAGAUAGGCCAUUAAAGAUAAGGUAAGAUUUGAAGUCAUGGGCCAAGGACUCUUGAGUUUGUUCUCCCAGGGACACUGAAAGCUUAGUUCUGCACAAAGCUCUUGCCUAAUUUUCACUGUAGCCCUCUUGCAGUUUUCAUGGCGGUAAUUUACAAAUGGUAGAACUGAAACCCUAGAAUUGGAAUUAACCACUUGGACGUUAACAGAAGACCUUGGGUCCAACACGAUGACCUCUGUCUCAUUUAUCUGUAUAUUUCUGCCACCUGUCAGGCCAUGUGCUAUGUAACCUUGAGAAAAUUAUCUUAUCUAUUAGAACCUUAUAUGUAAAGUGGGGUGAUCAAUGCCAAUCUCACAGGGUCUGCAGAAGAGUAUAUCAGAAUAGAGUAUUUUGCCUGGUGCCUCUUAAAAUGGCAGUUAUUAUUGUAAGACUUUUAUCUUGAAGACUAAGUGACUAUAGCUACUCCUGAGGGCCAGGAUACCACAGCCUUUGAGGGUAGUGGUAGAGGGUGGGUAAGGAGGCCUGGCACCAUGCUAUUUGACCCUAUUAUUCUACUCUUUCUGGUUGACAGACUUGCUUCAGAGAUGAUUCAGCUUAGUCCAGCACCAAGGCUGCUGGGAUUCUGGAUUGUAUUCUACUGGGGCUUGCAACAAAGUCAGGGAGACACAAUGAAGGAUGUUUCCCUUUGUGUAUACAGCUGCUUCCUGGUUACAGUGGGCCAUUGUUGUGCUAAGCCACACUGGAAGGGAAGUGUAACUGAUUGGCCAAUUGAUUGUGUCUCAUGUUCUGGCCUCAGAGGUCCUGCUCUGUCAAGGUCUUCUGAGGUUUUGGGAAGUUGUCUCAAACAGUAGUUAUUACUGAUAGUAGAUGGAUUGUUGAUCUUAACUCUUUUCUCCUUCCCUGUAAUGGAAUAAUACCUUCAUGAGAUUUGCCAUGUGACUUUGGUAUACCUCCCAUUAGAGUAGGAGUCUAUGUCCCAUUGAUGUUGAGCAUGGCUUUAACCAAUAGGAUGUUAGUAUAUAUGAUGUGAGCAGAGACUUUGAAUGUGCUAGGGUUGUUUGGCCUGGCCUUUUGUGUUUCUGCUAUCUGCCAUGGAAUAACAUGCUCUGGAUAGCUCCUGGUCCACAAAGAAUUAUGAGAUACAUACAUACCUGAACUCUAUGCUUAGUCCAGAUCCAAGCCUAAUGGAGCCCAAUUGAGAUCAGCUGAAUUCCAGCCUACUCACAGACCGAUGAAGGAGAAAAAUGAAUGUUUGUUCUCAUAAGCCAAUGAGAUUUGGGGAUUGUUUGUUAUGUAGCAUUGUUUUGAAUAGCUGACUAAUGCACUGACACAUGGAUCCUCUAGUAAAGAAAGGAUCAGCAGCAGAAUGCAGAUUAGCUGAUGUAAUCCUCUUGGAGAGGGACUGAGAAUUUUCAGAACUAGAAUGCUCAAUUAUCUUUUCCCCUUGAGGAGACUAUAGUGAGCACUGGUUGGGCAUGGUUUUUCCCCUUUCUGCUUCCAGUACCCAACUUAAUGCCCUGCUCAGAGUAGAGAGUUGAUAAAUUGAAUGGAAUGAAUUGAAACAUAGCCAGGUUAGGGAGGGUUUAUUUCUGAAAAUAAGGCUUUCUGUAGGAGCAUCCAAGAUGAAAAUCAGAGAAGAGGCCAUGAUAAGGGCGGGCCUAGCCCACCCAGGGCAAGGCCAACUCCAAGAGAAAUUUUAGAAAUGCCCUGAGCCUUUGAACAACAUUGAUAGCUUCUGUUCUUUGAGAGUUGCUAGACAAUACACUUAGAAACGUAUCAUUUUCUGUCUCAGUCUGGACUGCUGUAGUAGAAUAUCAUAAACAGAGUAGUUUAAACAACAGGAAUUUAUUUCUUACAGUUCUGGAGGCUGGAGAGUCCGAGAUCAGGAUGCCAGCAAGGUCGAGUUCUGGUGAGAAUUCUCUUCCUGGUUUGCAUAUGUACAUCUUCUCGGUGUCCACAUGGGUAAGAGCAGAGAGAAAGGAAGCAAGCUCUUUCCUGUCUCUUCUUAUAAGGCUCCACCCGCAUGACCUAAUUACCUCUCAAAGGCCCCACCUGCAGAUACUAUCACAUGGGAGAUUAGAGUUUCAACAUUUGAAUUUUGAGGGGACACAAACCUUCAGUCUCUAGCAUUUUCUCUUCUAUUUUUUUUUUUUUUGAGGAAGAUUAGCCCUGAGCUAGCUACUGCCAGUCCUCCUCUUUUUUGGUGAGGAAGCCUGGCCCUGAGCUAACAUCCGUGCCCAUCUUCCUCCACUUUAUAUGUAGGACGCUUGCCACAGCAUGGCUUGCCAAGUGGUGCCAUGUCAGCACCCGGGAUUCGAACUGGCGAGCUUCAGGCCACCGAGAAGUGGAACGUGGGAACUUAACUGCUAUGCCACCAGGCCGGCCCCUUCUCUUCUAGAAACAACUCUUGACUAUGCAAUUAAAUGACCUCCCCCCUCCUUCUUCUGUGCUCUGUCCCCACUUCCCCCUCCCCGCAAAAAUAUCAGGUACCAACAAAGACUGGUUGUCAGCUGAUCCACACUAACCUGAUUUCAUAUAGAUGUGAGAAAUAAGGCUUCUCAGAGAUACUUGUAUUUUUAAAACGAAUUCUAGGAGUCGCAAAAGACUUCUCUAAGCAAAGAGAUGAAUUACCAGUAACAGACUGUCAAAAACUGUGUCCGGCUAUCAGGCUUUUUGGGUGGGAAAGUUCUGUGUGUUCCCGCUACCUCUUUACCCUGAUCCCUCUAUAUAGAUUCCCUAAAUCCUUUUGUAUUAGGGUGAGACCUGCUCAUCUGCUUCUAUGGCUCCUUUUCCUCUGUGUUUGGAAUGACACAGGGAGGCAGACAAUGAAUUGUAAAAACUGUUUCUAUUUAAAAUUUAAAAUUGCUGAGGGGUCUCAGGGCACACAUGUUUUUAAGAGUGCCUGGUUGUGCUGACAUCUGGUGUUGCAAGGUAAGGUGAUGCCUGGGGACUUCUUUAGGAGGUGGGACUGUGGAGACUGCUUCCUGCCACUUCAUCAAGCAGCCAGUCCUGAGGUCUGGAUGGACAUCAUCCCAUCCCCUUCCUCUGGCCGGCCCCUUGGAAGGACUGGACUUUUAGGUUAUUGUUUCCAGGUAAAGGCCAACUGGAAUUAACGAAGGACCAGCAUUUAAAAACAACUGUGUUACUUUCCAUUAGUGCAGGAAAGCAGCAGAAGAGUGGGAACAUUAGAUGGCAAGAGCCUAAGAUUUGGAGUCUGAGGGCUGGAAGCUCAGUGUUCUCAUCUGGGAAUCAUAGGAAAUAAAAGCUUGUCUCACAGGGUUGUUGUGAGGAUCAAGUGAGAUACAGUAUGUGAAAGCCCUCUGAGGGACAGAAUUCUGUAUAAAUAUUAGUUGUUAAUGGAGUUAUUACAGAGAUUAAUAUAAUGUAUUAAGGCUGAUGAAGUUUACUUCACCUUCCUUCCGCCAGAUGGAGUGUCAUGAAGCAAAGUAGUAGUCAAGCAGAAAUGCUCUGGUACCGGACAGCCUGAUCCUAAUCCCAGCUGCAUCGUCUACUUUCUCUCUGUGGUGGUGAUCAGAUUUAAGUGAGUCGAUACCUAAAAUGAAUACCUGAGUUUUAAUACAAAAAAGUAUUUAAACAGUGCAUGGCAGACAGUAAUCUUUCAAGAGAUGCCAACUAUUUUUUUAACUUAUUACUUUGAAAUAACCAUAAAUUUGCAGGAAGUUGCAAAGAAAUGUAUAGGGAGGUCUUGUGUGCUCUUCACCCAGUCUCCCCCAAAGCUGACAACUUGCAAAACCCAGGUUCAGUAUCAAUACCAGGAUAUUGACGUUGGUACAAUCUACAGAGCUGGUUCAGAUUUUACCAGUUUCACCUGGACCCGUUUCUGUGUGUGUAGGUCCAUGCAUAUCCUUAUGUGACCACCACCACAGUCAAGAUACAGAACUAUACAAUCACCAUAAGGCUCUCUCUCACCACCCCUUUAUAGCUACACCAGACAACCGUUUUUAAUUCGUUGAGUAGUCAUGAAACAAUUCUCAGUAGAAGUAUAUUUUUAUAGUAAGAAAUGCCUGACACUAAAUUUGUGAAAUUGUAAGCUUCCUGUCUUUGAAAGCAUUCUUUUUUUAAAGAUUUUGUUUUUCCUUUUUCUCCCCAAAGCCCCCCGGUACAUAGCUGUAUAUUUUUAGUUGUGGGUCCAUGUGGGACGCCGCCUCAGCAUGGCUUGAGUGGUGCCAUGUCCGCGCCCAGGAUCGGUACUGGCAAAACCCUGGGCUGCUGAAGCAGAGCUCAUGAACCCAACCACUCAGCCACAGGGCCGGCCCCCUGAAAGCAUUCUAAUAGAAGCUGUUCUUUAUCAGGGAUUCUUUAAAGUGGUAAUAAUAGGAGAGGGAGGGGGAUGGGGGAAAUUGAACUCUGAGGUCCCAACUCUAAGCUUCUAGAAUUAUACAGGGACGUACCCUAAAGGAGAUGAGGUUUCAAAUGCACCUUGAGGAACAGGAAGGCAAAGGGGAGAGGGGAGAAUAUACCAGCUGACAAGAUUUCAACCCAAGGCAGGAGACUCACAAUGCCGUCAUAAAGUACAUGUGGAGGAGAGCUGAGAGAAAUUUUCUUCUUACAGCGGUAACCAAAGCCAACAAAUUAUAUUGAGAUCAGAAAUAAAUACAUCCUCUAGGAAAAAAAGAUCUUUGUCUCUGGGUGGACCAGCUGUGUGGUCAAAGCUGAAGAUGAUAUCAUGACAUCAUGGGUAACAAGCUGAAGCCAUUUCUCAUGCCCCAAACAAGGCUACACAAAGUGCUACCAGGAGACUUCACCUGACCAUCCUCAAAUUUCUGGAACCUUCUAGCUAUUGGGAAAGGCCUGGAAGAGGACAGUCUCAUGUGGCAGCCCUUAGCCUACUUGAAUGAAAUCUGACAAAUAUUGUAAAAAUACAGUCCAUUUAAAAACUUCAGUGGAUCUUCGUUUUGUUUCAGCAUAAUGGAUUGAAUCAAAUACAAGUUAUUUGCAGUGAACUUUCAUAAUAUAGGUAUUAUAUUAAUUUAGUAAAAAAAUUAGCCAUUUUCUUUACAUUUGUUUUGGGAGGGGAAUAGUAGUAAAGGGUGUUAAUAUUUAUUGAACCCUUAGAUGUGCACAGUAUAUUACACGUUAUCUUAUUUAAUCCUCAGGGUCACCCUGAAAGGAAGGUUAUUAUUAUCAUCAUUUUACAGAUAAGGAAACUGCGGUACAGAAGAGUUUAAGUGGCAUGCCUAACUCCAUGUAACUCAUCAGUGAGGAAGCCAAGAUUCAUAUCUGGGUCUCUUUCAGUAUAAAGCAGGUGCUGCUUCACCUACACUCUGCUACCUUCCAUAUAAGCCUCAACGUGAGCUCUGGCUUUAUUAGGUUGGCAAGCAUAGACUACAGACAUUUCUCUAAGAAGUCAUUUGGUUGCUCCUGGGUUCAGAGAUAUCCUAAAAGUAACUGAAACAAGGGAAGUUUUACUCCAUCAUUACACAUUCCUGGGCAGGAGAUCCUGUUUCUGGCCCUUACUUAGAACAACAAGUUGAAUUUGCAGUCAGACUAGUGAUAUUGUCAAAAUUUUUCAAACACAAAAACCUAUGACUGAUUGUAUACACUUGGGAUCGAAAUUACAUUGCUCUUUCAAAGAGCAGCCUACAAUGGCCUACCAAGAGGCCAAGCCAGUUCUGGGGGCUGUUGGCUAGAGGAUUUGAUUGUUGGUCAGAGGACACCAAAUAAGAGAUGGGAUGGUGUUGUGGGAGGGAGGGCUGGCUCUGGACAUCAGAGCUGUGAGUUCCAACAUAGAAUGGGCCGCUGUGCUGCUGUGCAAAUUUGCAAAAACUACUUAAUCCCCAUGAGCCUGUUUCCUUGUUCGAAAAUGAUGUAAAUUAUGGCAUCUACUUAAAGAAUUGUUGUCUGAGGAUUAUAUAAGUAAAGCACAUAGUAAUAUUGUUAGAUUUUAUCACUGUUGUUAUUAUUACUUGUCACUCAAAGCAUUCAGCUUUGCUGUCCUCAAUUCUCAGCACUUGCAUUAAUGUCCAAUUUCAAGUGCUGGGUAGAAUUGAAGCCUUUGUACCUGCCUCCAGAGAGGGCUAUUUAUUUUUCAUCAGUGCCUGCCAGGAACACACAACAUCACCAUUUGCCUAUCCAAAGGUACCUGAUUCUUCAGUGUUUUAUGUUACUAAAAAAGGGUCUACUUUGAAAACAGUGAGGCCUUUAGGAGAAAUUAGGUCUCGCCCUGAACUCAACUCUUUUAGAAAUUUCAAUUUACUCUGCUCUCCUCUCUGCCCUGCUUAUCUAGGAGAAGAGGCACAUUUUGGCUUUUGACUCAAUAAUGGGACUCAUAUUAAUAGGAAAGAAAGUUCAGAAGCAGAGAGAAAACUCUGGUGGAACAGAAGAAAAGCUAAAUGGAUUUUUCAAAAAUGUCCUGCAAACUCCUUUGAAUUGAUGAAGGCACAGUUGAGAAUGCCUCCCAACAUGUAGGCUUGAGGGACUGUUUUGCUUUAUAAAGCCUCAGAGAAGUUCCUCUGGCAGAAUUACCCCAAGUUGAGUAGAAAUGGAUCAAGGAAUGAACAAAAGGCUUUAACUAAGCAGUGAGGGCAGAUAAAAGCCCAGGUCCUCGAUUUGGAGUUUCUGCAGGGUCAGGCCUCUCCCUGGUUCUAUUGCUGGUUCCACGGUUGAAACCAGAGGAGAUAGCUGGAGAGUUAUGUUGUCCCGGACCAGUCACUUAUGCAAGAGGAUCACGAUUGAGAAGAGGCUCAGUAGCAUUUGAGGAAAACAAGUCAGAAGUGGAUGUCUUAGGUGGGAAAGUACUGAGAAGCAUUAACGCUGAGAGGGACAGUAGGUUAUAAAUUAGAAUGAGGCUCUAAACUAGAAAGUGCUCUUCUCUGGGAUUGACUAGCCUGUAAAACAGUCUGGGGGUGGGUGGUGAGCAGUGAGGCUUUCUGAUAGCUGGAGUUGUCUGAGAAAUAUGGACUGUCCCUCAGGGGACCACAGCCUGCUCAAAAGGUUUGUCAUGAUCCAAAUGCUCCUCAGUUCUUAGAAGGACAGUGGUGCCCAAAGGCUAGACCACCAUUCUGAAUCUUUCCUUGAGGCCACUAACCCAUUAACAAAGAAUUGUUCUGUCAUUGGUCAAGAUAAGGCAGUGGUUCCUAGCUGCUGGUCCUGUCCUAACACUGGUGGAGAGCCAAUAAAAAAAUAAGUCAUCUUACAUUUCCAGGUUGUGCCUUUUCCUUCAGGCUCCACCCUUGUCAUGGGGCAACUGUAGGCAGCAAUUGGCUCCUAAUGUGACAUGCUGGGUUUAGGGAACCAAUUCUCCAUUCCUCCGUGAGUGUUACAGAAUUCAUAGAAACCCAAGGAAGAUGCCUGUCCCCCUGUACAUUUUAUCCAGGGUCAUGAUCUUCAAAUAUAUCCUAUCUGCUCAGUCCUGUCUCCCUUCUUAACAUACACUGGUAAAAGGUUUGGACUCUGGUUCCCUCUAGCCUACCUCCUCACCUCAGCUCUCCCUUUCUACCUCAGACUUCAGAGUCCACUCCUAGCCCCUGUUUCUCAAUUUCCUAUCUAAUCCUGCUACCGAAAAUCCAUAUACAGGUCUUCCUCAUGAAGGUAAAUGACUGACAUCAUUUAAAAGCAUGGCCUUUUCUUGACGAUAUUUGCAGUUGAGCAGAGUGACAGUGUCACUAACAGACCAAUUUUUUUAUUCUUUUCUGUACCUCCUACUUCAUGGUUUCUGUUUACCACUUUGUUUCUACAAACACACCUCCAUCCUCUACUUCCACCAAAACUGAUUGCCAUCUUCUUCACUUAUUAAUUAAUCACCUGAACCAUUUUUUUUUGUCCUUGCUUUUCAUCUCUUCUUUGGUUUCAACAACUGUCUGAUAUCCCAGUGUUGGAACUGUUUCCUUUUCCCCAGUCCCUAAAAUCUUCCCAUAGGUAUCACAAUAUCCAGAUCUUCGCUGUCACUAGACAAACCUAAACACUUGAACCUAGGUUAGGAUUUUCCAGCCACAAUCUAUAUACCUUGCCCUUCUUCCCCACUUCCAUACCCAACUGAACUUUCCUCUGCCUUUAUUGGGCUUCUCAGUAGCUUCCACUCUUCAAAUAAAAUUGAAUCAACUUUGAGUUUGCCUGAAUCCUGCAUUGCCUGAGUUCCAUCACCAUUCAUGUCAAAGAUUCUCAUAUCAAUAUCCAAGACUCUUAUGUACCCUUAUCUUCCUCUGAGUCUGCCAUGCCAUCUUCUUCCUUAAAUAGUACCAUCCUUAUGAAGCUGACAAAACAAGGUCAGUGAACCAAGCAGGUCUGCAUCUCAAGGAAAGCUUGGAUUUGGGGAAGCUAUGGGUCUUUUGAGAAAUUGGGUGGCAUGAUCCCACCUGUCUAGUGUUUUGUCUUUUAAUCUUUCCAAUCCAAGACACCUCUAUCACUUGUGGAGACUCUAAGCAGGGAUUAACUGUGACUGCCACCUGGAAAGGUUGAGAGAUUUAAGUGCCCCAACUCACAAAGAGGCAGCUCAAGUGAAAUAAACAUUGUGACAUUUAAGAAGCAAAAAGAGCAUUUACUUUGGGCUGGAUGUGACAUUGCAUAUCACCAUAAUGGACUGCUCUGUGCCAACUGCAAAGUCCCAGGUGAUAAGUUAUAGCCAGUGACAGAGCAGGCCUUGAGUCCACAGACCUAUUCCUUUGGAGCCUGGUACCUGAGUUUCUUGCACUUUAUAUGUAAUUCCUUCCUCUUGUAUUUCAUGUAAUGUAUUCUUCACAGUGAGGCCAACAGGACAGUGAGUCUGCUAUGGAGGUGUCUUCAGCUCUUUUGGAAACCCCAGUGAGCUUCUAGCUUCAGGGCAUGACUUUCCUUGUGGAUUCUCAUGCCAUAGUCUUCUGGGAAAUUCAGAAUGAUCUCCCUAUUCUAAGAUGGUCAGUAUUCACCUAAAUUCAACUUGAUAUUUAGUCCUCAUUUAUGAAGCAUGUGCUAAAUUUAAAGCACUGUGCUCAGUUAUUUGGAUAUAUAGAGGAAAAAAAGACAUGGAUGCUGUCAUCAAGAAAUAAUUUAACCUAGUGAACUAGAGAUUUAUGUGCACAUACCUAUAAACAGUGAAAAGUGUAUUGAGGAAAGCUUCUUAGAGGAGCUGGCAUUUGAGCUGUGCCUUGAAGAACACAUAUUUCUAGAUGAGCAGAGAUGAGGAGGGAGCAGAGAAAGGAGAGGGAUUGGAGGAGGAGGUAACAGAGUGAGAAAAGAGCAAUGGGUAGGACUAUGAGGGCAAGACUUUGUGGAGUAUAUAUGUUUGAGGUUUGGGGGGAGAGUGAGGUGAGGCAUCAAAGGGGUUGAAUAGGCCUCAAAUUUAAUGUUCACUCAAUACAUACCAAGAGUUGUGCAAAGCACAGGUUAGCCUCUGAGAAAGGAAGAAGGAUACAACAGCUAUCCCUGCAUGGCCAGGAAGUCAAAGCCACGCAAAUCCAGGGGCUGCUUUCAGAGCUAUAAGUGUACCCAGACCUGUCCAUGGCCAUGGGUUUUUCAUUGCUUGGGUUCUCUGUUACCAUCUCUCUUUCUCUUGGCAUUCUGAAUGCUCACCCUCAGUCUUUUCUUCAUUUGUUGAACCCUGAUGAUGUGGACCAUCUGAUCCUUCCUAGUCCCCAAUUCUUGCAUAGGUUGUUGACUCUGAUCAACUUUACUGCAUCUAGUUCUCUGCCAUGUGAGUGGUGACCUAAUCCUUCUUUGCUCUGGCAGCCCUGAGUGAAGUUUGUCUUCAUAUAAAUACAGACAUAUUUUGCCUUGGUAAUUCUUGCUUCUGCUGCAUGUUUUUCCCUCCAGGCACUUACUUUUUUGUCAUGUAGGCACCCAGUUUCAAUGCCUGGGGUGGCUUUCAGUGUUAUGGAUACACCAGGAAAAAAAAACAACACAAGAACUGUCACAAUCAAGAGUUCCGACUUCAAUGAGUAAUGAAGUUGCAUGAAUUCCAACUCGUGGUUCCAAAGGAUUUCCAUAAGCCUCUUGAUUUCCAAAUGAGAAAAUCAUGAUAAGCAGUUAAUUAGCUCUUUAAGCAAAGGCAAGCCGUCUCAGACACUGCUGUGCACUCCACACUCUUGGGAGAGGGAGGCCAGUACCACAUCCUGACAAACAUGCAGUGCAAGCAUGAAAAUGGAGUUCAUAUAAAUUCAAGUAAUGUCCUUUGACUUUUCAUUAAGCCAGGCAUGUCCCAGUUACCCCUUGGGGACUUUCUUAACGUUAUCAUGGCAACAUACAAUUAAGUCAGAUUACAUUUUUUUAUAUGCAGGGAGAGGUGCUAAGAUACCAUUCUAAAUUAUUCAGCAGUUCACUUUUCACAAAACAACCCCAGAUAUAACUUUAAGAUGUGCAAUAUUAAAAAAUACCAGAUAAUUUGAUAUUGCUAUAUCAUGUAAAGAAGACUUUUUUCCUUUCCCCAGGGAGAACAAAAGACUUAAUCGAACUCCACAAGCAUAGCUGUGCUUAUCACAGCUUACCGUAUUACUCUGAUUUAUGUGGCAGAUUGUGAACUCCUUGAGAAUUAACAGAAGUUUCUUCCUUAGGGCCAGAAUAUUCUUAUUUCAGCAUUGUAAAGCCAGGGACAGCUUUGAAAAGGAGCUAAAUCAUUUUUCUCUUUCUCCCCCUGACACCCCACACCUCCUAUGUGUGGUGUAUGUAGAUUUGAUCCUUAGUUAUCAUGUCACGGUUCCUAAGGAGUCUUAAGGAGACUGAUUAUAUAAAGGCACCUUUAGAAGGGCAUCAUCUUGGUGAGCCUUAAAGGCUCCUCUUAGUCUUCAGAACAAGACCCCUGUAUCAAAGGAGGAAGAAUGAAUUGGGGUGCUGAGUUAUACAGCUAGAGGCCAACCCAAGUGGGAUAGGACUUAGUGUGGGGAAACACUCUUUUAUGGGUCACUGGUGCUCCUAUGCAUCUUGCUAAAUAUGCCAAGAUUGGAAGGUCCUGACCACUCUUUAUCUGGACAAUUUUUCAAGGUUUGUUUGUAGCAAAUAACUUGAGGGAUGAGGUAACAUCUCCUCCAAGAUAGAGAGCAGGUCUCUUUACACACUGCUAUAGAGCGAUGGCUUCCUUAGGUUCAGUAUUCCUUACUUGUAAUGCAACCUCCUUCCUGCGCAUCCAUCUAGGUUCACCUGCACUGCCCCUCAGGGAACUGGGGCCAGUGACCCUGCUGAGGCUUGGCUAAUGCUUUUGAGUAACAAAGGCUUUUAUCUCUGACUCAAGAAAGCAUCCAUGAAAUUCUGGCAAGUUAACUUGUUAGCUUGCAAGUAGGGUAACAUAGCAGACCCUUUAUAGACCUUGAUGGUUAAUAUGUAAUGCUUGUGGUUGCUUUCUCCUUUCCCUGUCUGAUCUGAAGAUAUAGUUCUUCUUGUUUGAGAUACCCUUUUCUACUGCACAGAGUCCUCAUAUUUAAGCCAAAAUCUGAGUAGAAGCCUUCUUUCUUAAGAUCUCAAGAAGCGUAGACUGUCAUGACUUCUAAGAGGUAAGAUACCAUGCAUAAAUCCCUAUUGUGCCAAGCCUCUCUAUAACUGAUGUACUUGAUAAGUCUUGACUUAUUAACCCUUUGUGGGCAAGAUAGGCAGAAUCUUUGAUGUGUGGUAAGUGGUUGCUGCCUGGGUCUUACAUGUUUAAUUUUAUGUCAUCAUACGUCAGGGAGAAGUUAAGGUUUAUUACUUAAAUGCCCAUUUCUAGUCCAUGUCCCAAAAUUCAGAUUCAGGGUACACUGGAAGCUGUGUCUUUGGAAGUUGCUUUGAUGGUGGGGCCCCAGACACUAAUUUGUAGGUCAUUGCUGUUGUUUCACAGGUGCCUGUGGAGGCACAAAGGGGUAAGCUGAUGGGCAAUUGCAGCUCUCCCUUCUAGUUCUGAGACUUCUCUCCUGUCUAGCAGGCAACAGUCAUGUUGUGUUUGUUUGGAGAAAAAACAUGGUUCCUUUCCACCUGGGCAUACCCUUCUCAAGCUGAAAUGGCUGCUCUUAUUGCUGUGUCCUACUUCUGAGGGGCCAGCCUGGCCAAGGAGUAAAUGACAAAGAAAACCACCAGCAUCUCAACGACCACCACUCAAGCAACAGUUCUUCUUAUGGUAAUUGUCUUCUAUGUUCUGGGUUCCUUAAAUCUAUGAUCUUUGAAAUUCAUAGCAACCACAAGAAGGGAUAUUAUACUACUCACUUUACACCCAAGGAAACAGGAACUAACUCAACAUGAUCACAUAGCUUCUGAGCACCAAGCUAGGAUUAUAACCCAGAGCCAUCUGAGUUCAAAACCUUUCCAUCUUUUGCUGGUGCCUCUCUAAUCCUACUUUCUUUGUAAAGGCUCAGCAAGAUGAGAUGUGGUCUGUGAAAUUCAUAAAGACCAUCAUACCAUAGUUCAAACACCUCUGAAGAAUCCCUAUCACUUACAGAAUGAAGUCCAAUUGUUCUGCCUUUCAGUCACUUCCUCUUCCCAGUUACAUUCCCUGCUAUUCACCCCCAAACAGACCUUAAACCUUAGCCAAAUGUAAAUAUUCAUAAUUCCCUGUAGUGUCAUCAAUUUUUCUCACUCUAUGCUUUUGAUCAGGCAGCCCUAGCUUCAAACAGCCCACUGUUUUCUCUAACAACUACCUAAAAUCCUCCCCAUCUUUAAAGAUCUGAAAUCAGAUAUCACCUCCAUGAAGCCAUUCCUGAUUCCCAAAACUUAAUGUGAACUUUCCCUCUUUUUGACAUGGCAAUUCUAUUUCGAUCCUUUAAAGCCCUGAUUGCACAUUGCCGUAGUACACCCAUCUGCUUAUAGAAGAGCAAGUUGUCCCAGAAGCCCAGAUCUUUCUUGUGCUUUGGAUCCAUAUAUCCUGCUGCCUACUAAAUAUUUCCCCUUGGGAAUUCCAUAGGUGUCUCAACCUCAGUGCAGCUGGAACUGAACUCCUAAUGUCGUUCACAAACUUGUGCCUCCCCCUAUCUCCGUAAAUGACCCUCCUUCACCCAUUUGCUCAAGCCAGAAAUAUGGGUAUCAUCACUGACCCUUUUUUCUCUAUCAUUUGUCGCAUCCAGUCAAUCAUUUAAUCCUAUUGCAUCUAUUGCCUAAAUAUGUCUCAAAUCUAAUAUAUUAUGUCCAUUUCCACUGUAAUUUCCCAAGUCCAGGUGACCAUCAUUUGCCAACCAGAUUACCAUAGCAGCUGUCCUUCUAAUUAACCUCCAAACUUUCAGGUUUCCUUCAUCCAAACUGACUCUCACUGCUUGAGUCUGAGGGAGGCUUUAAAAAUGCAAAUCUGACAUGUUACUCUCCUGCUCAGAAGACUCUCCUGCUCAGAAAUUGCCCUUAGGAUAAAAUCUAAACAAAUGGUUUAUGUGCCUUUUCUUUGGGUGCCUCUUUUAUACCUCUCUAGCCAUAUCUUUCACAGUUUCUCCCUCUUGCCCUUUAUGCUUUGGCCGUUCUACACCCAAUUCGGUUCCUCAGAUAAGCACUGUUCCUUCCCACAUAUUGUUUUCUUUACCUCUAAGGAUGUGCUCCUUCUGCCCCUUCCCCAGUGCAUACGUUUUUGCCUGGCUCCUCCUCUGCUCUAUCCCAGGUUAGAUAUAACUUCUGAGAAGCUUUCUCUGACCUUAUAAAGACUGAAUUUGGUGUUCUCCAAUGUCCUCUAUAACUCUCUCUACUCCCUAAUCACAGCAAAGUGUUAGAAUUGCUGCUUUCAUGGCCUAUCUCCCUCACUAUACUGAUUAGAACAUAUCCAUUAAAACUUGGAUAUCCAUGGAAUUCUUUCCUGCAAAAUAUUUGGGGCUCCAUAGAAUUAUGAACCUCUAUGGAGCCUGGCGCAUAGGAGGUGUACUAAAUACUUGUCUUUUGUUUAUUUGAGAAGAAAACAGGUAUUUCCAAUGUUAAGUGUUUGCAACUAAUCACAUAGAUUAUUAGAGAUAUUCUUGAGUCUUUUGAUUUCCAUGUUUUCUUUUUUUUUUGGUUGUUAAAUUAAUACUGUCUUGGUGGCAAGCAAGGGUUAAUAGCUAUUUAAGGACCCAGGGAAAGUACGAAAGAACAUGUCUCUGUUCACAAUGACAUUAAUUUAUAAGGAAGGGUUGGAGGAGCAAGCCAAUCAAAUACUGGAUGCCAAAUUACCAUAUAUCACACAAUUUACGAGGCAGUCAAAAGUGUUAUUAAAUUAGAGACCAGAACAACCUUCUUAAUUCAUCCUUAUGACAGUGAUUGUAAUGACUCUAAGAACCUGGUUUAACCUGAGUUCAUUUUAUGAAAGGUCUUUCAUUUUUAAACAUUACAUUUAUUGAAUUUUAAAGAAAGCUUGCCUUAAAAUGCAUACAGUUAAAACAUAAUAAAAAUGCCUCAAUAAUCAAUCUACAUUCACUACCUGAGGGAUACAGUGGAUUCCGUUUUUCAAAAAUCUGGUGUUGAUGUAUUUUUUUCUUUUUCUCUGUAAAACAGAAUCAUUAAUCUUCAGAUUUCACCAAAGUAGUCCUGCUAUUUUUUUUUUUUUUUCCUGUUUUAUGCUCUUAUGCCCCGGCAUCUUUCAGUAGAUUCUAGUUUUUCUAUUCUGAUAACUCUGGCCAAUAGUGGGCCCCUCCUUAAUCCUUCUGCUUUGCAGGUGAAGCCAAUGCUAUACAAUCCAAGAAGAGCCUUGGUCAGGGAUGAGGGCUUACUAUUAUCAGUGUUUUGGGUCUCACUGAUCCCAGGCCUUAUGGACUCAUGUGAAAAUCACAAGUACAGCAUCACUUUUACCUCCAUUGUUGGCUCCUAAGGGUCUGGGACACUGUUGGAUGAAGUAAACUUGCGUGGCUCCCUACUCCAACCUCCAGCCCCCAGCUCUAAGCACGAAGUGGUUGCUCAAUAACUCUUAUGGCAUGAGUAAGGAAAUACUUUUAUUUUUUUAUUUCUUGACUUUUAUGAUCCACUAGUUUAUGCUCUCAAUUCAAGAUGGACACAGAUAAGAACAACCUAUGGCACAUUCUUUUCAUUGGGGCUGUCCUGCCCAGGGCGUUGUCAUAUUUGGGUAGAGUCAGUAGGGCAGGAUGCAGCUCUGCCAAAGCUCAUUAAAUGGCAGUGAGAACAGCAUCUUGGUGUGCUGUGUGCCCUGGCCUUAGUUCUCAGAGCAGUUGGCUCUCUUAGUGGCAUCCAGUCAACCAAUGGUGGCAGAGUUUCUUCCACUGUGAUGGGGUAGCUUUUUGUCUUCUGCAAAAGCUGGACACCCUGGAGAACAAAGUAGCUUCCAGGAUCUCGGAUGAGCCUCUCUCCUAAAAGGGCACAUUUCUAAUGGCCCUCAAGUUGGGCCAUGGGUCCUGAGGGGACCUGGUACCAACUAGGUUAGAUUGUGGCCAUGUGAUUGAUAAGCGUUAAAUAAACAUGGAGAAACCAAGCAUAUGCCCAGUGCAUAAGAAACACCUAAUAAUUGUCACUACCCUUUCCUACUGUUCUUUCACCCACUUCUGGAUCCAUGCCACUUUGUUCCCUUGGAGAUGUCACUUGGCUUUUGGUUGGGGGGAUGGGGAAAGCAGGGAACCAAGAAAGAGUCCAAAAUUGUGAUGUGUGAGCUGACCCUUGAAGACUGAAUAAGAAUUAUUCAUACAAACAAGAUUAUAAAGAUGUUUUAGGUAGAAGCAGCUACUUAAACCAAGACAAAGAGAUGAGAAAUAACAAGAAGCG
rnacentral:lncRNA from 1 species